rnacentral:rRNA from 1 species
UACGUAGGGGGCAAGCGUUGUCCGGAAUCAUUGGGCGUAAAGAGCGUGUAGGCGGUUCGGUAAGUCAGCUGUGAAAGUCCAGGGCUCAACCCUGGGAUGCCGGUCGAUACUGCCGGACUAGAGUUCGGAAGAGGCGAGUGGAAUUCCCGGUGUAGCGGUGAAAUGCGCAGAUAUCGGGAGGAACACCUAUGGCGAAGGCAGCUCGCUGGGACGUUACUGACGCUGAGGGACGAAAGCUAGGGGAGCGAAUGGG